AGGUGGUGACUAGCUAGAAUUCAUACCUACCUGAAAGAAGCUUGAAGCUAGGGUAUUAUGUCCUUGGGGGCUCUAUCUUGGCCUGGCCCCUUCCUGCUCCACUCUGCUUCCUGGGGAUCCUGGUUCGUCCUGCUCCAGUGAGCCUGCCUCCCUGCUAUGAUUUAGAAAACAGUCUGAAUCAUAAGAGUCACCAUGAACCACAUGUGGCUGUUAAGAAUUUGAAAUAUGACUACACCAAACUACUAUGUGAGACAAGUAUAAAAUACACAGCCGACUUCAAACAUUUACUUAAAGAAAUCCAAAUAGGUGGACAAGAUCACACUUCUUUCUUCCCUGAAGAAACAGUGGAUACUAAAGUCAAGACAGAAUAAAGCUGCACUCUGGUAUCCAACUGGGUGCCUUAGUAGCUCCUGUAAGAAUUCAUUUCUCAUUUGGGGUGAGCCUGUGUGUUUUUAUGCCUUUGGAUCUUUCCCGCAGCUCUACAAGAAAUCUCUUGAACACUGCACAGCUGUCUUUCCUAUUCUGUGCAUCCUUAUUUUUCAAGUGGAUUCUGAGAGCAGAUGUCCCCAUGUGUCUUUGAAACUUCUUUUCAAUUAUUGCCUUUGCAGAAGAAGAAAAUAUUAAGGAGUUAUGGGGAGAGGUGGGGUACUAAAACACGACACUGUAUUGAAGCAGAUGUAAAAUAA